AUGAUUGAACUUCCUCUGAAAGAAAAAUCUCUUCUCCCUCAAUCUCUCAUCCGCCGCUCACUUCUUCACUUUGAAACUACCUCACCGCCACAGCUUCUUCCUCAUCAUCUACCUCAUUCCGUUGUAAACACGACAUCGCCACCAUCUCCCUCAUGGUUUCGAAUCCAUCUCGCUUUCGUUCUUCAUCUCAAAUCCGCAGUCGCCUUCUUCAAAGUUACGUCUCAUUUAAGUUUCGUCUCCUUCUUCAAAGUUACGUCUCAUUUAAGUUUCGUCUCCUUCGUAUAUCACGCCUCUGUCUCACUUUGA